rnacentral:snRNA from 1 species
AUUAUUACCGAACCAUUCUAAAA